GUGUCAGCAGCCGCGGUAAUACGUAGGGUGCGAGCGUUAAUCGGAAUUACUGGGCGUAAAGCGUGCGCAGGCGGUUUUGUAAGACAGGCGUGAAAUCCCCGAGCUCAACUUGGGAAUGGCGCUUGUGACUGCAAGGCUAGAGUAUGUCAGAGGGGGGUAGAAUUCCACGUGUAGCAGUGAAAUGCGUAGAGAUGUGGAGGAAUACCGAUGGCGAAGGCAGCCCCCUGGGACGUCACUGACGCUCAUGCACGAAAGCGUGGGGAGCAAACAGGAUUAGAUACCCUGGUAGUCCACGCCCUAAACGAUGUCAACUAGUUGUUGGGGAUUCAUUUCUUCAGUAACGUAGCUAACGCGUGAAGUUGACCGCCUGGGGAGUACGGUCGCAAGAUUAAA
rnacentral:rRNA from 1 species